rnacentral:rRNA from 1 species
UACGUAGGGUGCGAGCGUUGUCCGGAAUUAUUGGGCGUAAAGAGCUUGUAGGCGGUUUUUCGCGUCUGCUGUGAAAAUCCAGGGCUCAACCCUGGACCUGCAUUCGAUACGGGCAGACUAGAGUUCGGCAGGGGAGACUGGAAUUCCUGGUGUAGCGGUGAAAUGCGUAGAUAUCAGGAGGAACACCGGUGGCGAAGGCGGGUCUCUGGGCCGAUACUGACGCUGAGGAGCGAAAGCGUGGGGAGCGAACAGG